AUCCGGUUGGCGAGUCCGGAAUAGAACGAAACGCGCGUCCUGGAU
rnacentral:hammerhead_ribozyme from 1 species